rnacentral:rRNA from 1 species
GAUGAACGCUGGCGGCGUGCCUAAUACAUGCAAGUCGAGCGAACAGAUAAGGAGCUUGCUCCUUUGACGUUAGCGGCGGACGGGUGAGUAACACGUGGAUAACCUACCUAUAAGACUGGGAUAACUUCGGGAAACCGGAGCUAAUACCGGAUAACAUAUUGAACCGCAUGGUUCAAUAGUGAAAGGCGGCUUUGCUGUCACUUAUAGAUGGAUCCGCGCCGUAUUAGCUAGUUGGUAAGGUAACGGCUUACCAAGGCAACGAUACGUAGCCGACCUGAGAGGGUGAUCGGCCACACUGGAACUGAGACACGGUCCAGACUCCUACGGGAGGCAGCAGAAGGGAAUCUUCCGCAAUGGGCGAAAGCCUGACGGAGCAACGCCGCGUGAGUGAUGAAGGUCUUCGGAUCGUAAAACUCUGUUAGCAGGGAAGAACAAAUGUGUAAGUAACUGUGCACAUCUUGACGGUACCUGAUCAGAAAGCCACGGCUAACUACGUG